UUCACUUAAAAUGGAAGGGAAAUAUCAUAAAAUGUUAAGAAAAAAGGCUCUUCUUAAAGAACCUUUUCACACCAACUUUGCAAAACUCCUCACUUCAAGUGCAGGAUUUCCUUCUGUCUGUUCAGUGGGUUUAUACUUAUAAUAUCCUUAUAAUAAAGGGACAGUCUUCUGAGUUACAUUGAGGCUUUCUGUGUGACUGUCGGUAACAGGCAAUACUGUAUUUGGAAACGUUGCUUCUGAAAUUCUGGUUUAAUUCUAAGAAUAUUAAAAUGAAUUCAUCAAAGCCCCGGCCACUUCUUUGCUUAUAGGAAAAGAAAGGUAUAUUUUAUGUUAAGCCUUUUCUCCAGAAUAUGCUUUAAGCAUUUGUCACUCAAUGGAGGUGACAAAGAAAUAAAGGAAAUUCAAUUAUGUAUGUUCUGAAGAAAUCAUGUCCUUGUUCAGUGGCCUCUGAAGUGACACAAAAAUAUUUCUUGUUUCCUGCAUCUGGAGUUUUCAGGCAAGAUCUUUGUACUUAGAAUUCUGUUUAUAUGAACACCAAAGAUUCUGGCAUGAUAUGUCCUGGAACGAUGACUAAUAGUUUCUAUUAAAUAGCUAUGGAUACAUUUAUUGAGUCCUGCUUUUGGGUUUAUUUGCCCUCUUUGGGUCUUUUGUACAUUUUGUAUGUCUGUCCUGAGGCCUUUAUGCCUAGGGCAACUUUUUAAUCAAAUAAUACAUAUAUAUUUAUUAGGUUUCUAAUGUAUAGAGUUUGUUCUCACCAUGACUUUAAACUUUAUUUCAUUGCUAAAGUUAGACAUAGAUUUGCCAGAUUAGCCUCAUAGUUUGGACAUUUUUUGUUGUAACCUGAAAAUGUAGCUUAUAACCCCAUAGGCCUGGUAGAUGAUGACUAGAAACAUUUUGGAUUCAGUAGAAUCUCUUAUAGAAACUCAUUUAUUUGUUAAUGUAAAGAACUUGGUGAUUUCAUAAAAUGAAAGCUGUAUACAACUUAAGUUCUUCCAUCUUUCUUGUAAGAAUGACUUUAAGAUUCUUUUUAUUCUACCACUUAUAAGUUAAUUGGGAAUAAAAAGGUAGAUUUACCAAUUUAGUAUAAUUUAACACUAAGCAUCUGUUUAGAAAUGUAAUCACCACAGUUAAUACUUAGAAAAGUCAUAUAGAAAAAUACAGUACUGUUCUUUGAAGAUGGGUUUAUUUCCCCCCUUUUGAUGGAUUGUCAAUAUGAAUGUAUAUUUUCUGGCCACUUAGCUUUUAAUUGAUUUACGUGAAAAAAAGCAUAUGUGUGCCUGUUCACUCAAACCAUAUUUAAAAUUCUCUUUUUAAGCUGCUACAAUUAUAAUAUAUGAAAGAAGAAAGAGAAAGGUGAAUUGAGGAAGAGGGAAAUUU
rnacentral:lncRNA from 1 species